rnacentral:rRNA from 1 species
AUCAUGGUUUAGCAAGCAAAAAUCAAGCAAAGAGAACUUUAGUUUGAAACCCCGAAACUAGACGAGCUACUCCGGGGCAGCCUAAUCAGGGCCAACCCGUCUCUGUGGCAAAAGAGUGGGAAGACCCCCGAGUAGAGGUGACAAGCCUACCGAGCCUAGUUAUAGCUGGUUGCUUAAGAAAUGAAUGUUAGUUCAGCCUUAUGUAAUUCUAUAACCGAAACAAUUAUUAACCAAAAGAACAAAAGCAAUACAUAAGAGUUAGUCAAAGGGGGUACAGCCCCUUUGAAACAGAACACAACCUUAUUCAGGAGGACAAGGAUCAUAUCAUAAAAGGACAAAAUUACCUCAGUGGGCCCAAAAGCAGCCACCUGUAAAGAAAGCGUUAAAGCUCCGGUAAAUGCAGACCAAUAAUAAAGACAACACACUCCCUACCCCCUAAAAAUAUUAAGCUAUCCUAUGCACACAUAGGAGAAACAAUGCUAAAAUCAGUAAUAAGAGGACCCAAGUCCUCUCCUAGCACAUGUGUAAGUCAGAACGGACCAACCACUGACAAUCAACGGACCCACAAGAGAGAAAAAGAACAAACUACAAAAAACAAGAAAAAACUAUUUAACACCCCAAACCGUUAACCCAACACAGGAGUGCCUCAAGGAAAGACUAAAAGGAGAAGAAGGAACUCGGCAAACACAAACCCCGCCUGUUUACCAAAAACAUCGCCUCUUGCUAACAAAGGAAGUACUAGAGGUCCCGCCUGCCCUGUGACCACAAAGUUUAACGGCCGCGGUAUCCUGACC